rnacentral:rRNA from 1 species
ACGAUGAAGCCCAGCUUGCUGGGUGGAUUAGUGGCGAACGGGUGAGUAACACGUGAGUAACCUGCCCUUGACUCUGGGAUAAGCGUUGGAAACGACGUCUAAUACCGGAUACGAGCUUCCACCGCAUGGUGAGUUGCUGGAAAGAAUUUUGGUCAAGGAUGGACUCGCGGCCUAUCAGCUUGUUGGUGAGGUAACGGCUCACCAAGGCGACGACGGGUAGCCGGCCUGAGAGGGUGACCGGCCACACUGGGACUGAGACACGGCCCAGACUCCUACGGGAGGCAGCAGUGGGGAAUAUUGCACAAUGGGCGAAAGCCUGAUGCAGCAACGCCGCGUGAGGGACGACGGCCUUCGGGUUGUAAACCUCUUUUAGCAGGGAAGAAGCGAAAGUGACGGUACCUGCAGAAAAAGCACCGGCUAACUACGUGCCAGCAGCCGCGGUAAUACGUAGGGUGCAAGCGUUGUCCGGAAUUAUUGGGCGUAAAGAGCUCGUAGGCGGUUUGUCGCGUCUGCUGUGAAAUCCCGAGGCUCAACCUCGGGUCUGCAGUGGGUACGGGCAGACUAGAGUGCGGUAGGGGAGAUUGGAAUUCCUGGUGUAGCGGUGGAAUGCGCAGAUAUCAGGAGGAACACCGAUGGCGAAGGCAGAUCUCUGGGCCGCUACUGACGCUGAGGAGCGAAAGGGUGGGGAGCAAACAGGCUUAGAUACCCUGGUAGUCCACCCCGUAAACGUUGGGCGCUAGAUGUGGGGACCAUUCCACGGUUUCCGUGUCGUAGCUAACGCAUUAAGCGCCCCGCCUGGGGAGUACGGCCGCAAGGCUAAAACUCAAAGGAAUUGACGGGGGCCCGCACAAGCGGCGGAGCAUGCGGAUUAAUUCGAUGCAACGCGAAGAACCUUACCAAGGCUUGACAUAUACGAGAACGGGCCAGAAAUGGUCAACUCUUUGGACACUCGUAAACAGGUGGUGCAUGGUUGUCGUCAGCUCGUGUCGUGAGAUGUUGGGUUAAGUCCCGCAACGAGCGCAACCCUCGUUCUAUGUUGCCAGCACGUWAUGGUGGGAACUCAUGGGAUACUGCCGGGGUCAACUCGGAGGAAGGUGGGGACGACGUCAAAUCAUCAUGCCCCUUAUGUCUUGGGCUUCACGCAUGCUACAAUGGCCAGUACAAAGGGCUGCAAUACCGUAAGGUGGAGCGAAUCCCAAAAAGCUGGUCCCAGUUCGGAUUGAGGUCUGCAACUCGACCUCAUGAAGUCGGAGUCGCUAGUAAUCGCAGAUCAGCAACGCUGCGGUGAAUACGUUCCCGGGCCUUGUACACACCGCCCGUCAAGUCAUGAAAGUCGGUAACACCCGAAGCCAGUGGCCUAACCGCAAGGAUGGAGC